GGGCCAUAGCUUAAUGGUAGAGUAUCUGUUUGGAAUGCAGGCGGUCCGGGUUCAAUUCCCGGCAACUUCA